rnacentral:piRNA from 1 species
CCUUCCAGAAUAUGGUGUCAUUAACCCCGC